rnacentral:rRNA from 1 species
AACGAACGCUGGCGGCAUGCCUAACACAUGCAAGUCGAACGAGACCUUCGGGUCUAGUGGCGCACGGGUGCGUAACGCGUGGGAACCUGCCCUUAGGUUCGGAAUAACUCCCCGAAAGGGGUGCUAAUACCGGAUAAUGUCUUCGGACCAAAGAUUUAUCGCCUUUGGAUGGGCCCGCAUUGGAUUAGCUAGUUGGUAGGGUAAAAGCCUACCAAGGCGACGAUCCAUAGCUGGUCUGAGAGGAUGAUCAGCCACACUGGGACUGAGACACGGCCCAGACUCCUACGGGAGGCAGCAGUGGGGAAUAUUGGACAAUGGGCGAAAGCCUGAUCCAGCAAUGCCGCGUGAGUGAUGAAGGCCUUAGGGUUGUAAAGCUCUUUUACCCGGGAUGAUAAUGACAGUACCGGGAGAAUAAGCGCGGGCUAACUCCGUG